rnacentral:rRNA from 1 species
AAAAAGCUCGUAGUUGGAUCUCAGCUCGAGACGGAUGGUCCGCCUACCGGUGGUUACUGUCUGUUCUCAGCAUUCAGCCGGUUUCUCUUGAUGAUCUUCACCGGUUGUCUUGGGUGACCGGCAAGUUUACUUUGAAAAAAUUAGAGUGCUCAAAGCAGGCGUGAAAGCCUGAAUAAUGGUGCAUGGAAUAAUGGAAUAGGACCUCGGUUCUAUUUUGUUGGUUUUCGGAACACGAGGUAAUGAUUAAGAGGGACAGACGGGGGCAUUCGUAUUGCGACGCUAGAGGUGAAAUUCUUGGACCGUCGCAAGACGAACUACUGCGAAAGCAUUUGCCAAGAAUGUUUCCAUUAAUCAAGAACGAAAGUUAGAGGUUCGAAGGCGAUCAGAUACCGCCCUAGUUCUAACCAUAAACGAUGCCAGCCAGCGAUCCGGCUGUGUUCCUCAAAUGACACGCCGGGCAGCUUCCGGGAAACCAAAGCUUUUGGGUUCCGGGGGAAGUAUGGUUGCAAAGCUGAAACUUAAAGGAAUUGACGGAAGGGCACCACCAGAAAUGGAGCCUGCGGCUUAAUUUGACUCAACACGGGAAAACUUACCCGGCCCGGACACAGGAAGGAUUGACAGAUUAAGAGCUCUUUCUUGAUUCUGUGGGUGGUGGUGCAUGGCCGUUCUUAGUUGGUGGGGCGACUUGUCUGGUUAAUUCCGAUAACGAACGAGACUCUAGCCUACUAAAUAGACGCUCCGAUCCUUCGAGUCGGACGUUCUUCUUAGAGGGACAAGCGGCGUUUAGCCGCACGAAACAGAGCAAUAACAGGUCUGGGAUGCCCUUAGAUGUCCGGGGCCGCACGCGCGCUACAUUGAAGGAAUCAGCGUGUGCUCUCCCUAUCCGACAGGAUUGGGUAACCCGUUGAACCUCCUUCGUGCUGGGGAUAGGAGAUUGUAAUUGUCCUCCUUGAACGAGGAAUUCCCAGUAAGCACAAGUCAUAAGCUUGUGUUGAUUACGUCCCUGCCCUUUGUCCACACCGCCCGUCGCUACUACCGAUUGAAUGAUUUAGUGAGGUCUUCGGACUGGCGCUCGGAUUGGCCUCCGGGUCGAGCCGAAGUGCCGGAAAGAUGACCAAACUUGAUCAUUUAGAGGAAGUAAAAGUCGUAACAAGGUUUCC